GCAUAUCAAUAAGCGGAGGAAAAGAAACCAACAGGGAUUGCCUCAGUAACGGCGAGUGAAGCGGCAACAGCUCAAAUUUGAAAUCUGGCCUCACGGUCCGAGUUGUAAUUUGUAGAGGAUGCUUCGAGCAUGGUCUGGCCUAAGUUCCUUGGAACAGGACGUCAUAGAGGGUGAGAAUCCCGUAUGCGGUCAGGUGCCUACGCUCAUGUGAAGCUCCUUCGACGAGUCGAGUUGUUUGGGAAUGCAGCUCAAAAUGGGUGGUAAAUUUCAUCUAAAGCUAAAUAUUGGCCAGAGACCGAUAGCGCACAAGUAGAGUGAUCGAAAGAUGAAAAGCACUUUGGAAAGAGAGUUAAACAGUACGUGAAAUUGUUGAAAGGGAAGCGCUUGCAACCAGACUUGCACGCGGCUGAUCAUCCGGUGUUCUCACCGGUGCACUCGGUCGCGUUCAGGCCAGCAUCGGUUUUGGUGGUUGGAUAAAGGCCCUAGGAAUGUAGCUUCUCUCGGGGAGUGUUAUAGCCUAGGGUGCAAUGCAGCCUACCGGGACCGAGGACCGCGCUUCGGCUAGGAUGCUGGCGUAAUGGUUGUAAGCGACCCGUCUUGAAACACGGACCAAGGAGUCUAACAUCUAUGCGAGUGUUUGGGUGUCAAACCCAUACGCGUAAUGAAAGUGAACGGAGGUGAGAACCCUUAAGGGUGCAUCAUCGACCGAUCCUGAUGUCUUCGGAUGGAUUUGAGUAAGAGCAUAGCUGUUGGGACCCGAAAGAUGGUGAACUAUGCCUGAAUAGGGUGAAGCCAGAGGAAACUCUGGUGGAGGCUCGCAGCGGUUCUGACGUGCAAAUCGAUCGUCAAAUUUGGGCAUAGGGGCGAAAGACUAAUCGAACCAUCUAGUAGCUGGUUCCUGCCGA
rnacentral:rRNA from 1 species